UGGGGCUGGUAUGGAUGUAAUAAAGCGAGCCGAGGGUAUAGGGUGGCUCCUGGGCUGUGCUAACGGCCUCAUUCAGAGCUGGGGCUGCCAAGGGCUUGUCCUGAGGACACCUGGGUCCCUAAAUGGGGCAGGAGCAGGUGAGAGGCCGCCCGUCCUGUAACCGCUCCCUGGCAAGGGGCGAUUUCAUGUCGCUGGCUGAAUCCAACAGGCAGGAAAAUCACCUUCAGGAGCCGAGAGCUGCUGGGGGGAGUCCUGAAGGUGUUUGCUGCUGGCUCUUGAGCCCUGCAGUGCCACUGCUCUGCCCCCAGACCUGGCACCACUCGGCCGAGGGCUCCCCCUGCACGCCUGUUUCUUCCCAGUCCCUCUCCUUAGAAACCUCCUGGGGGUACUUGGAGUGGGAAAAAAGCUCUUUUUUAACAUUAAUGGGACGUGUCCUGGCUUCAUUGUUAGAGCCUAUUACCUGUAAGUGUUUUUAACUGCUGCUUUGUGAAGCUUGGGGUGUGCUUUAUGUUGGUGUAGAAAAUGGAACACACGUGGCAGGUGUGGGGGAUUGCUCGAUUCUCGCCUGCUGAAAUACAUCGGGGUGGUGUUUGCUUCUCCUUAGCUUCAGAGCUCGGGCUGGGCAUCCUCCCUGUGCUGGGCUUCGUCAGCUGGUUGCAGUACUGCUCCCUGUGCCUGCGAGCCCCCAUCCUGCCCACGGGCACUGCCCUGCAGUAGGGAGAGCGAAAGGAAACGCACUGGGUCUGCAGCGGGUUUAUCUCAUUGCUUUGGGCAGUAACUUAAUUUUUGCAAGCUGCUGGGAGCACGCUGUAAGGUGAAGAACCAGUGCAAGCUUUGAAGAGAGCCCUUUCUUCAAGGGCUUGUCGGGAAUUGAGGUAGGACCUGAGGAAAUGGCAUUGAGCUGUUUGAUUGAAGAUCUUGCUGUCGGUGAUGCUGACUCUGGGGGGUCACCGCUGCUGGUGCACAGCUGGUUUUGGGGUCCCCCUAGGGUUUGUAGAGCUGGGGGAGAUGGGCUGUGGGGAUCUCGCUGUCUCCCCUAGCAUUUUUCCUGGAGGGAAAGCUCUGUUAGAGGCUCAACCCUUCACCUUUCCUGUUAAAACGCGAUUACUCACCUGCGGGAGCAUGAGGAAGUACCCUGCAAACCCAGCCCAGACCGCACUUGACACUCCUAACUUACUGGAAGGGGAGAAACGCGUCCAGGAAGGCGAAGGGCCCUGACGACAGGAACCAAGUGCUGCUAAAUACAGACAUCCCUUUUUGGACUAAAAAGUCUUUUCUGUACCAUGCAUAUUUCCCCUGUUAAUCAUUUCCUUUUGUUCCUCGCAAACUUUGGUCUUCCAAUGUUGUAGGGGGAAUUAUGGCUGCCCUGGUUGUCAACUUUCCUUUCGUUAACCGGUGUGGUUGCUGUUUUCUUUUCAUCGUUGUACUCUGGUUACUCACCCUUUUCUUUCCCUUUUUUAAAAAAAAAAUGUCAUAUUUGGCCUUGGCUGGUCUUGAAAUAUUGGGGAUUUUACAGGCCAUUGAGCCUUGCUUGGUCCUAUUCACCGCUUCUGUGCCGAACUAAUUGGCUUGAUAACAAAGGCGAAGCGCUUCUCCUUCAAGAAGUCAUCUCUCUACUUGUGGCUCAGCAUGUGCUCUGCUCCUCCAUCCACCUCCCUCACCUCCAGGGCUUUGUUGUGCUCCCAUUUCCAUCCCUGCGUGCACUUUUUACCUGGUACACACACAUACAAGUAAAGCAGCUUCUUAGCUCAGUGCUGGUGUCAUGGAGAGCUGGUGUGCCACUCCAUGCCAGCAGUGGUUGUGGGGUGGAGAGGUUGAGGCUGGGGGAAGCCUUUCCCCAAAAAGCACCUGGAGCUCCAGCACCGUGCCAGGGAUGCUCCUGUGGCCGGGAGUUUGCAUUCCCCUUGUCCUCAGCCCCGAGGAGAGCCUAAAGCGUCAGUCAAUAAUAAGCUUAUAAGGCAGUAAAUCUUGGUAAUGAGAAAAACAGAAGACAGCAUCUGCUCAACACGGCGGUGCUGUGUAUGGUCGGGUAAACAGCUACUGAAACCAGUCACCCAUUGUUGUGGGGGUUACAGCUGGAGAGCUGAAUGGCCUGGCAAGACUGGUGGAGUUUGGGGGUGCUCUGGAGGAAAAAGGGUAAAAGCAGGGGAAUGUUUCGGCAUCCCUGUCACAUCUUCAGAGAUGUUGAAAUGAGAUGCGCCGGUGGGCGACAGGAGCAUGGGGAGGAGUGGGACAUGCAGGCAGUGUCAGUGUCCCUGUCCCCAUCCCACACCCGUGCUGGGGGUCCCACCCCAUGCCCACCCUGGUUUGCAAACCCAGUUAACCAGGUUUGUGAAUCCAGGGGAGGAGGGGAGAGAUCUGGGGAAGGGAUCUGCAUGUGGUGCACACUGCCUUUAUGAAUUGGGUCUUUAAUAAUUUACAUUACCAGUUUAAUACUUUGAAUACAAAUUAUCUCGCCCAUAUGCUGUGCUGACAAACAUAAAAAUGGAGUAAUCAAAGCUGUAAUAGCACUACAGCAAAAAGACAUAAAAUGCCACUAGAAGGCUUAGGAUAAAUUAUUGCCUGCACACGCUAGCGCUAUGGCUCCCUGGUGCCAGUGGAUGCAUUGCAAUUUCUCCCUCAGACUUUGCAUUUGGGCUCGAGGACUGGUGCCGUACCGGGAGCAGCGCCUCAGCUUCUGCUUAACAAAGAGGAGGAAAGGAAAAAGCUCGGACCCGUUUGAUAAACACCGCAAUUUCAAGUCUGCCCUGGCGGUUCCAUGGGCUGCGAAGAAAAUAUAGCCCUCUUAUUCGUAGGGAGCCCCUUCUUCCUCCGGCACGGUUAUUUGCAUGUAUUAUAAACAGCAGUGUUGGCUUGCCAUCUUCAGGCAACACAAACGCACUGCACAGCAUCCCUGCGCAUCCCUGAUGCUGCUGGCCCCCCGGUGCUGCCGGUGGCUCUGUGCUUCUUCCCAAAUAAAUCACCAGCGGGGGGGCUCCGGCAGCACCAAGACCCUCACCGAAGGCAGGGGAGCGGGGCAGCUCGUCCCCUGGGGCCCCGGCACGGCGAGGGCUUUCGCUGCCCAUGCAGGGGAGCGUGUCCGUGUCUCCGGCUCCGCAAAGAAGUUUUGGGCAGAUCAGGACCACAGAAACAUCCCCAUCCUCAUCCGGAGCAGGAUUUUCAGCACAAAAGGCUUUAUGAGACUCACAAAGCGUGGCAUCUAGUUCUGCACGUGAGCUCCGGGAGGCAGAGAUCAGAGUCCUGCUGGGCUGAAUGCCGCACGUACCGUAACAAAAAGGCAGUCGCGGUGCCAAACAACUUCCAGCCUUCUUCUUAAUAUAAGGAAUGCAGAAUUAAGAUUGCCAUAGCAACAUCUUGCUCAUAUUGCACGUAUAGAUAUGACUUGUCAGUCUUAUAUAUGUGUGUGUGUGCGUAAUGUAUGUAUACAAACCCUAAAUAUCUCUGGCACCUUUUUCUGCUGUUGGGUUGAUGCCUUGUGUGUUACAGCUCUCGGUGCUCUUCCCCCGCUGAUCCCCACCACGUCCAGGCUUUCUGUCCUCCUGGCCUCUGGGUUUCCAUCCGCUGUUUUCAAGCAAGCCAGCCGCCAGGAACGGGAUCAGUGCCCGUGUGCUCCUAUCGAAGCUUUCACCCAGCAAUUUGCAGAGGGCUGCAGAGCUCCCUUCCUGUAAUUGGCAGCCAAAAGCACCACGCUUCGUAGGAGGAAACAUCUUGGAUGGCUGCUGGAUCCGAGCAGGCUAUUUCCCGUAAUGAGGACGAAGAAAAUGAGCCUUCGCCAACGGGGUGACUGAGCCCCUCGCUGCAGGCAGGGAGGUGCUGUUGGUGUGUCAUUAAGACAUUUCUUGCACCCUGGCUAGUGGUGAGGGUGUUAGUGCCCAGAGCUCUAAACCAGCCCUUUUGCUGGGGUUGAAGCACAGCCAGGGUAUAAUCUCAGCUCCUUUUUCUGAAUGCAGCUGGUGGGGAUCUGGGGGAGACCCUGGUGUGUCCAAAAGCUGCCCUCCAGCCGUCCCCUGAAUGGGGCAGGACCGUGGGCUUGUGGCUGGGAGGAAGAAAGGGCAGAGUAAGGGAGAGAGGGGCUCAGAGCCACGGGGACCAGCAGGAGCCACCCUGCAGCAUCCCUGCCUGCAAGAGGACAGGGGCAGGAGGACAAACAGGGACAUUGUGCCCUCUCCCUUCCUCUCCUUGAUUUAUUGUCCUGCUGUGGGACACCGAACACCUUGAGUAACUUGUGUGCUGUUGGGCAAUGUAGGAGGAAAGCUUUUCUCAGAAAAUAAAACCCUCAAAAUUCUUGUUGGCCACAAAAUACGUCAACUGUAUCUGAACCGUCCCGGCCUGACAAAAUGGGGUGAAAUGGCUUUGGCUGAGGCCAUACGAAUCACAUGCACAGUUCAGCCUCUGCCAUACAAACCGUCCUGCUAACAAAAGCCUUUUCAGCAAAGGGGGGCUCUGAUGCUCCGUCCCACAGCAGCAUUGCCCCUGUCACUGUGUACUCAGAGUCCCGAAGGAAUACAAAGUUUUCCUUCUUUCCCUUGCCAUUUACUGCAGUUUUGGGUAGCUGGGCUGAAUGAGCAGGCUUUUCAGGUGCCAAACAAAAAGCCCAUUCUGGGGCAGCGAAGUGUGCGCACUGCACGGGGCUGGGGCCAUGGGGACAAAGCAGGAGGCGGCUGGACACGAGGCUGGUGGUUUGUCCUGAGUUUCUGUGGCAUAAAUAGACUUGUCUGUGCGUCCGUCUCUCCUGCAGAGGCCGUUCUGGAUUUCCCAGCCUGGUGUUGCUGGAUUCGACCCCUUCCUGGGGGUGCACAAGGGCCAGUAAUUAUUUUGGUAAGCACAAAGAGCUCCCUUGAGCCAGCCAAGGGAAAUGGAUAUGUCGCUGCCACUAAGCAGGCUCAGCCAAAAGGACAAGAUAAAUCGGCCCUAAAUAUGCCAAACAGCAUAGUGGUAUUUGUGGAGAACAACUAUUAUCUUUGUAUAGUUGACAAAAGUUAAUUGUCUCUUUUGCACUGACAAAAAUCAGCGUAGCAGUCAGCCUGUCCCCAUGUAGGGGGAAAAAAAAUCCUUCAUUUAUAAGCAAUUCAUUAAGCAGCAUUAAAGCUGUCUCUGAAGACAAAAUAAUCUUUUUAAAGAGGACUCAAGGUACUGAGAAGGAAGAUUAAUGCCUCAGCUACUUUUCAAUUAUGCAGGUUUUCAGUUGUUAGGGUAUACCUGGAUUAACUCUUUCUGAGCUGAGCACCUUGGCAGGCGCCGUGCCGUACCGAUGGGCGAUGCUCUGCAUCUAAAAAUAAAAAAUAAAUAAAAGGUUUGGGAGUAUUUUGCACCAAUUGCACUCUGUUUGGUCCUGGUGUUUGUGCCUGUAACCUCACCUCUGUGCCACAGGAGCCAAGAAGCUCUGAUUGCUGACCUUAAUUCAGUCUGCUUCUCCUGUGAUUGUAUGAGCGGUCCUUGCACACUCAAACGAGCCUGAAUUCUUCCAGCACUCUGCAGGUAUUUUUCUUCAGCGUGAUUUACGUCAGAGUUUCUGGCACUGUGUAAUUAGAAAAGGUCUCAUUGAUACCUCCACCAUCGUUUCUUUCCUUGCCGUUGCUUCCUCGAGUGCCAGACUUUUCUUAAUUGAAGCAGCGAAGAGUUCAUUUAGCAGGAAGGUGGGAGGAAGCAGCCUGAGAACGAUUCAUCUAAAUCACCCUGCCGAUGCAAACAGUUGCUCACUACAUCUAUCAUAAUUUCUUCCAAGUGUCGUACGAGAGAUUAGUCACCGUAACCAUGCAGAUGCACGCACGUGCCUGGCAGAGCUACCCAGACCUGCUCGUCUAGGGCAGCUGCAGAAAAAGACUGCUUCGUGCAGGUGUCAGUUUUGCACCAAAAGAAAGGCCUUUUUUAAAAAUUUAUUUUGGAAAUGGGACUCCCUGCACUUCACACUGCUAUGCCAGCAGAUAUUUUUAGGUGUAAGUGAGGCCAAAAUCUUUGUUGGGCAGAUUUGGUGCUCAUGUGGGUGCCCUUGCCUGGGGCAGCACCCACAUGAGAAGCCACCCUGCCCUGUAGCUGGGGGGAAGCAGUGGGGUUCAGCCUUAAUUUUCUUCCAGUUCUUCAGCAAUCAGCUGAUAACCAGUUGAUACCAAUAGGCAAAACCCCACCAGACGCCCCAGCUCAGCAAUCUCCUUGCUGUGGGGCUGGAGGGCAGUGCCAAAAGAAGGUAAUCCUCCUGGGUAUGGGUUUGCCAGGGCUCCUGAAAGCCUCCCCAGCCAGUGGAAAAGUGAUGGCAUUGUGCACAUCCCUGCAAAGUGCUCAGAAAGGACACCGACUUUUCCCUGCACUUCGGACACCACCUUCAUUAGUUUCAACCUGCAUAUGAACUCCAGGUCCUCUGAAGCCACAUCCCGGCUCUCCACAUCUAAAAUAUACCUGAAAGUGACUUAAAAGUGGUGAAAACGGCACCAGACCAGAACAGAAUGAAGGCAAAAGUUGAUGAAGGAUGCAGCCACUUGAGCUGCUCCCAAACUGCAGGAAGGUUCUGAAAGCAAACUGGGAAGAAGUCUGCGAAGAAAACUAUUUGGUUUAGAUGGAAAGAAAAUAUUUGCUAAACUGUACAGAAUUCAGUGCAAGUUCACCCAAAGGGCCAAGCUUCAAGCUGAAAUACUGUAUUUGACAAUUUGAAAAUGCACUAUUUUGAUUGUUAUGAUAAAAAUAAAAUAAAUAACAUAAAAUAAAACAAAACAUUUUGUU